AACGCACAUUGCACCCUCUGGUAUUCCGGGGGGUAUGCCUGUUCGAGCGUCAUUUCAACCCUCAAGCGCAGCUUGGUAUUGGAUGUCAUCUGGCAAUGGUGCAUCUUAAAAUCAGUGGCGGUGCCAUCUGGCUUCAAGCGUAGUAAAACUUUCGCUUUGGAGAAUUUGGAUGUGUGCUUGCCAUCAACCCCAACUUAUCAAAGGUUGACCUCGGAUCAGGUAGGGAUACCCGCUGAACUUAA
rnacentral:misc_RNA from 1 species